rfam:Schistosoma haematobium scaffold201_12, whole genome shotgun sequence.
AUUUAGAUGAAGUGUCCCAAAUAGGACGAAAUUCACUUCCUGGAU